rfam:Myotis brandtii contig293004, whole genome shotgun sequence.
GACGGUUCUCGGGUGAGGCACCCUGGAAUCGGGCUCCCUCUCUCUGGUUCCAGGAUGGGUCACCCGAGAACUGCU